rnacentral:misc_RNA from 1 species
GAUGAAGAACGUAGCGAAAUGCGAUAAGUAAUGUGAAUUGCAGAAUUCAGUGAAUCAUCGAAUCUUUGAACGCACAUUGCGCCCGCCAGUAUUCUGGCGGGCAUGCCUGUUCGAGCGUCAUUUCAACCAUCAAGCCCUGCUUGCGUUGGGGUCCUGCGGCUGCCCGCAGGCCCUGAAAACCAGUGGCGGGCUCGCUAGUCACACCGAGCGCAGUAAUACAUCUCGCUUUGGGCGUGCGGCGGGUUCUUGCCGUUAAACACCCCCUUUUUACCAAGGUUUACCUCGGAUCAGGUAGGAAUACCCGCUGAACUUAAGCAUAUCAAUAAGCGGAGGA